rnacentral:tRNA from 1 species
UCCCUGGUAGUCCAACGGUUAGGGCUCUGCAAUUUCACUGCCGAGGGCUCAAAUUCAAUUCCUGGUCAGGGAG